GAAAUUGUUCCAUUAGGCUGAUAUGUGGAUGAUAUUGCCAAACUUAUCUUCCUCUCUCCCAAAAUCCUACUGUAGCAAACCAAACAAGGAAAAUGAACUAAUUUCCUUUCCCUUCCCAACUGUCACUCUUUAACCAACCCAAUGGAGCUUUCCCUCUUCCCUUGUCAUCAACAGAACCCUCAUCUUAUUCACAAGCCUCUUCUCUCCAUUGCCAGUACAAGGAGGAGAUUAUCCAGCAGGAGUUCAAGUGUGAUUCCAUGUCGCUGCUCAUUGUCUUCCUCUGAUGAUAUUACAAAACCCACCUCACUAUCAUGGCACCAUGAAGGAAGAAGGGCAUUGAUCGCUACUCUACUUACUACCGCAGUUGGAAUUCAUGUCUGCGAUGUGGCUGAGGCUGUUAGCACAAGCAGAAGAGCACUUAGAGCUUCAAAAAUACCAGAGAGUGAAUUUACAACCCUUCCCAAUGGUCUGAAGUACUAUGACUUGAAGGUUGGGGGUGGAGUCAAGGCUGUGAAGGGAUCCCGGGUUGCAGUACGGUUGUGGUCCAGUUAAAUUGCAGUUUUUAACUAAGUGAUUUUAGAAUACAGCCUAUAAUACAGUGAUAUUUGCAUAAGAUGAUAUUAUCUAUUGAUCUGAGGUUUCAUGUAGUCCCAAGGAUACAUGUAAACCCUCCAUAUUUGCAUCCAUUUAGAACUUGUUAGACUUUUACACUCUUAGUCAGUGCAAAUGAUGUUCAUCUUCACACUACUAAAUGCCUGUUUCCAAAAACAUAAAUCUGUAGUUAACAACAACUAUUGUUGAAAUUAUUGAAGAUUUUAAAACAUACAUAUGCUCAAGAUUAUUGAGAAGUUUUAACUUAAGAUACUUUCUUAACCGCUGAAGAGCAGGUUGAACAACCCUCAUUUUCAAAUGAAAGAUGCCAUUCCACUUCUGUCUUAAUAUUACAGCUCUGUGUAGAAUGAUCCUCAGCUCACAUAUAUUUUCUGCACUGAUUAUUGGAGACAAUGUUUCAUUCAUAUUCACUGACUUCAACAAUAACCUCGGAUUCUGGGAGUUUAGAACAACUUAUGCCUUCUGGGCAUCUAGUUAAAUGUAAAAUAAAUCAGUGAGAUCAUUUUCUGAACUCCAUUUGCUAUUCGCUUGUCUUUCAUCUUGGAAACUGGCAUGUUGCUUGUGCAUCCAAAAAAUAUUUGAUUUUGGGAUCAAUGUUAAAUUUUCAAUACUAUCAGCUGAUGCUGUUCAAGUAACAAUAUUUGAUUACAGCUGAAACAUGAGUGGAAGAAAUAACAUGAUCUAGGAUUUUCACUCAGCGUAUAGUUCUUAAUGGUUGCUAAUUUUGAUUGUUUUGUUAUUAGAUAAAAAAUUUCACUAUAAUAUUUUGCAUACGAGUAGGAAGAAAAAAGAAAAAACUUAUUUCAUGUCUUUGUGGUUAUUUGAUACCUUGUAACAUCCAAAUACAGCUAAUGUAAUUAUCUUUAUAUUAGGUUCACUAUGUUGCCAAAUGGAAGGGAAUCACAUUCAUGACUAGUAGACAAGGACUUGGUGUUGGAGGCGGAACGCCUUAUGGAUUUGAUGUGGGCCAGUCAGAGAGGGGAACAGUCCUAAAAGGUUUGGACCUUGGUGUUGAAGGUAUGCGUGUAGGUGGGCAGCGUCUAUUAAUUGUUCCUCCUGAGCUAGCAUAUGGAAAUAAGGGAGUUCAGGAAAUUCCUCCAAAUGCAACAAUAGAGGUAAGAAAUUUAUUGUCUCCUUUGUUUUGUUGUCUUAAAAUGAAAUGGACCUUUGAAUUCUUUAUGCAUCUGAAUGCAUAAUGAUCAGCCAUGACACAUAUAGCACUGAAAUAAGAGUCAUCAUAAGUCAUAUAGAAUGGUCUUUGAUUAAUUAAAAGUCCAUGAGAUGCUAUUAAAAAAAUAUUCCUUAUGCCUGAUGGAUUCCAUUUUUCAGCCGCAGUAAUUUGCAUUUCGUCCUACUGACUCUAGUCCUGUAAUGCUUAAUUCCUAUCGCAAACCAUGGCUUAGAAAACAGAAUGCUGAAAACACUAUAAGAGGGGGAAAAUAUUACUGCUUUCUAUGUCGCCACCGUUUUUCUCUGAAAAUUGGUUGCAUAGGAGAAUUGUGCAUCAGUCCAUCUGUUCCAUGUUUUCAAGGAUUGUGAGCACAUAAUUUGUAGUCAAUACUCGCUUUAAUGUGGGUUACAGAAUGCAAAUUUAAAAUCGAUCCUUUGAUGGCCUCUCCUUUCUAAGAACUUUUCAUUGCUUGUCAAUUUGAUAAAUAUCUUUUCUUCCUGAGAUCCUUUUUUCCCCCCUUAUAUUCCAGCUACUUAAGAAUCAAUUAGUUCAACGUUUAUGAUAAGAAAUGGAAUUGGAAUGGCUUUGAUCUUUUAAGCAACAUUUCUAUUGAGAAAAAUGGCAUAUAUAUCUAUUACCACCUUAUCUUCCAUUCAAUUAUUUAUUAUAAUUUAACAAGUUUCUAUGUUUUAGCCUGGCAAGUCUGGCCAGUUAAGAUGGCCAUAUCUGAAUCUUCCUCCAAUAUUUUACUUAUUCUUUCAGUCAAUUCUGCAAAUUUGAAUAUGGUCAAUUCUCUAACUGGUUUAUACCUUCAAGUAAGCUUGGGGAAAAUUUUUCUGUUCUUCCAAUGUUCUGUCAAAGUUCAUUACGUCUUUUGAAUCUGAAAAAAGAUGACUAAAUCAAAUCACAUCAAACUUUCCAACUUAUGGCUAGACAUCCUCUAAAUGUUAUGAAAUGAUCCCAACAUUUUCAAAUACUUAUAGAUGAACAGUAUCCCUGGUACAAAGAGUUUCUCUAGGUUGAAAGCCAGAGUGUUGCAAUUCAAAAUUUCACACUACUAAGGGGGGAAAACAAAUGAAAGCUUUCUAUCCAUACUAGAUGUGUGAAUGAGUUAGUACUAAUUAGUCUCAAUCUAGAUUUUCCAACAUAAAAAUUCACUAUGGGCCUGUUUAGCAUUGCUAUUGAAACUGCUGUUGAGAAAAU
rnacentral:misc_RNA from 1 species